rnacentral:tRNA from 1 species
GAUCUCGUAGCUCAGCUGGUAGAGCAUUUGACUUUUAAUCAAAGGGUCUCGAGUUCGAAUCUCGACGGGAUCA